rnacentral:rRNA from 1 species
UAAGUGACUAAGCGUACACGGUGGAUGCCUGGGCAGUCAGAGGCGAUGAAGGACGUACUAACUUGCGAUAAGCGCAGAUAAGGCAGUAAGAGCCGUUUGAGUCUGCGAUUUCCGAAUGGGGAAACCCAACUGCAUAAGCAGUUACUGUUAACUGAAUACAUAGGUUAACAGAGCAAACCGGGGGAACUGAAACAUCUAAGUACCCCGAGGAGAAGAAAUCAACCGAGAUUCCGGUAGUAGCGGCGAGCGAACCUGGAUUAGCCCUUAAGCACUCGGUGAAGUAGGUGAACAAGCUGGAAAGCUUGGCGAUUACAGGGUGAUAGCCCCGUAACCGACGCUUCAUCGAGCGUGAAAUCGAGUAGGGCGGGACACGUGAUAUCCUGUCUGAAUAGUGGGGGGACCAUCCUCCAAGGCUAAAUACUCCUGACUGACCGAUAGUGAACCAGUACCGUGAGGGAAAGGCGAAAAGAACCCCUGUGAGGGGAGUGAAAUAGAACCUGAAACCGUGUACGUACAAGCAGUAGGAGCACCUUCGUGGUGUGACUGCGUACCUUUUGUAUAAUGGGUCAGCGACUUAUAUUCAGUGGCAAGGUUAACCGUAUAGGGGAGCCGUAGCGAAAGCGAGUCUUAACUGGGCGCUCAGUCUCUGGAUAUAGACCCGAAACCGGGUGAUCUAGCCAUGGGCAGGUUGAAGGUUGAGUAACAUCAACUGGAGGACCGAACCGACUAAUGUUAGAAAAAUUAGCGGAUGACUUGUGGCUAGGGGUGAAAGGCCAAUCAAACUCGGAGAUAGCUGGUUCUCCCCGAAAGCUAUUUAGGUAGCGCCUCGGACGAAUACUACUGGGGGUAGAGCACUGUUAAGGCUAGGGGGUCAUCCCGACUUACCAACCCUUUGCAAACUCCGAAUACCAGUAAGUACUAUCCGGGAGACACACGGCGGGUGCUAACGUCCGUCGUGGAGAGGGAAACAACCCAGACCGCCAGCUAAGGUCCCAAAGUAUUGCUAAGUGGGAAACGAUGUGGGAAGGCUCAGACAGCUAGGAUGUUGGCUUAGAAGCAGCCAUCAUUUAAAGAAAGCGUAAUAGCUCACUAGUCGAGUCGGCCUGCGCGGAAGAUGUAACGGGGCUAAGCAAUACACCGAAGCUGCGGCAAUAUCUUUUAGAUAUUGGGUAGGGGAGCGUUCUGUAAGCCGUUGAAGGUGAAUCGUAAAGGUUUGCUGGAGGUAUCAGAAGUGCGAAUGCUGACAUGAGUAACGACAAAGGGGGUGAAAAACCUCCUCGCCGGAAGACCAAGGGUUCCUGUCCAACGUUAAUCGGGGCAGGGUGAGUCGACCCCUAAGGUGAGGCCGAAAGGCGUAAUCGAUGGGAAACGGGUUAAUAUUCCCGUACUUCUGACUAUUGCGAUGGGGGGACGGAGAAGGCUAGGUGGGCCAGGCGACGGUUGUCCUGGUUCAAGUGCGUAGGCUUGAGAGUUAGGUAAAUCCGGCUCUCUCUAAGGCUGAGACACGACGUCGAGCUGCUACGGCAGUGAAGUCAUUGAUGCCAUGCUUCCAGGAAAAGCCUCUAAGCUUCAGAUAGUCAGGAAUCGUACCCCAAACCGACACAGGUGGUCGGGUAGAGAAUACCAAGGCGCUUGAGAGAACUCGGGUGAAGGAACUAGGCAAAAUGGUACCGUAACUUCGGGAGAAGGUACGCUCUUGAUGGUGAAGUCCCUCGCGGAUGGAGCUGACGAGAGUCGCAGAUACCAGGUGGCUGCAACUGUUUAUUAAAAACACAGCACUGUGCAAAAUCGCAAGAUGACGUAUACGGUGUGACGCCUGCCCGGUGCCGGAAGGUUAAUUGAUGGGGUUAGCGCAAGCGAAGCUCUUGAUCGAAGCCCCGGUAAACGGCGGCCGUAACUAUAACGGUCCUAAGGUAGCGAAAUUCCUUGUCGGGUAAGUUCCGACCUGCACGAAUGGCGUAAUGAUGGCCACGCUGUCUCCACCCGAGACUCAGUGAAAUUGAAAUCGCUGUGAAGAUGCAGUGUACCCGCGGCUAGACGGAAAGACCCCGUGAACCUUUACUACAGCUUGGCACUGAACAUUGAACCUACAUGUGUAGGAUAGGUGGGAGGCUAUGAAGACGUGACGCCAGUUGCGUUGGAGCCGUCCUUGAAAUACCACCCUUGUAUGUUUGAUGUUCUAACUUAGACCCAUUAUCUGGGUUGAGGACAGUGCCUGGUGGGUAGUUUGACUGGGGCGGUCUCCUCCCAAAGAGUAACGGAGGAGCACGAAGGUGGGCUAAUCACGGUUGGACAUCGUGAGGUUAGUGCAAUGGCAUAAGCCCGCUUAACUGCGAGAAUGACGGUUCGAGCAGGUGCGAAAGCAGGUCAUAGUGAUCCGGUGGUUCUGUAUGGAAGGGCCAUCGCUCAACGGAUAAAAGGUACUCCGGGGAUAACAGGCUGAUACCGCCCAAGAGUUCAUAUCGACGGCGGUGUUUGGCACCUCGAUGUCGGCUCAUCACAUCCUGGGGCUGAAGUCGGUCCCAAGGGUAUGGCUGUUCGCCAUUUAAAGUGGUACGCGAGCUGGGUUUAGAACGUCGUGAGACAGUUCGGUCCCUAUCUGCCGUGGGCGUUGGAAGAUUGAAGGGGGCUGCUCCUAGUACGAGAGGACCGGAGUGGACGAACCUCUGGUGUUCGGGUUGUGUCGCCAGACGCAUUGCCCGGUAGCUAAGUUCGGAAUUGAUAAGCGCUGAAAGCAUCUAAGCGCGAAGCGAGCCCUGAGAUGAGUCUUCCCUGACAGUUUAACUGUUCUAAAGGGUUGUUCGAGACUAGAACGUUGAUAGGCAGGGUGUGUAAGCGUUGUGAGGCGUUGAGCUAACCUGUACUAAUUGCCCGUGAGGCUUAACCA